CACCCGCAGCACAAGUGGUGGUCACUUUUAUUGAGCCUAAAGCGUUCGUAGCCGGUUUUGUAAAUCUUUAGAUAAAGCCUGAAGCUUAACUCCAGAAAGUCUGAAGAGACUGCAAGACUUGAGAUCGGGUGAGGUUAAACGUACUUUCAGGGUAGGGGUAAAAUCCUGUAAUCCCGGAAGGACGACCAGUGGCGAAAGCGUUUAACUAGAACGAAUCUGACGGUAAGGAACGAAGGCUAGGGUAGCAAACCGGAUUAGAUACCCGGGUAGCCCUAGCAGUAAACGCUGCUUACUAUACGUUGCAUUUCCCUGAGGAAAUGCAGUGUGACAGCGAAGGCGUUAAGUAAGCCACUUGGGGAGUAUAAUCGCAAGGUCGAAACUUAAAGGAAUUGGCGGGGGAGCACAAAAACGGGUGAAGUUUGCGGUUCAAUUGGAUUCAACUCCGGGAAUCUUACCAGAAGCGACAGCAAUAUGAAGGUCAGUCUGAAGAACUUACCAAAUGCGCUGAAAGGUGUUGCAUGGCCAUCAUCAGUUAGUAUCUUGAGACGUCCCGUUAAGUCGGGUAACUAACAAGACCCUCUUCUAUAUUUGCUAACAUGCAAUCCGUUGCGAAUGAGCAAAAUAUAGAGACUGCUUUCGAAAGAAAGAGGAAGGCGAGGGCGACGGUAGGUCAGUACGACCCUAAUCCUCUGGGCUACACGCGAAUUGCAAUGGUAAAGGCAAUAGGAUGCCACUCCGAAAGGAGGAGCUAAUCCCCGAAUCUUUAUCUUAGUUCGGAUCGAGGUCUGUAACUCGGCCUCGUGAAGGCGGAAUCCGUAGUAACCGCGUUUCAACAAAGCGCGGUGAAUACUUUCCUGCUCCU
rnacentral:rRNA from 1 species